rnacentral:rRNA from 1 species
UUCGUAGGUGGCCUACUAAGUCAGACGUGAAAUCCCUCAGCUUAACUGGGGAACUGCGUCUGAUACUGGGGGGCUUGAGGACAGGAGAGGAACGCGGAAUUCCAGGUGUAGCGGUGAAAUGCGUAGAUAUCUGGAGGAACACCGGUGGCGAAGGCGGCGUUCUGGACUGUUUCUGACACUGAGGAACGAAAGCCAGGGGAGCAAACGGGAUUAGAUACCCCGGUAGUCCUGGCCCUAAACGAUGAAUGCUUGGUGUGGCGGGUAUCGAUCCCUGCCGUGCCGCAGUUAACGCGUUAAGCAUUCCGCCUGGGGAGUACGGUCGCAAGGCUGAA